ACAACCCGGGGAAACUCGGGCUAAUACCGCAUACGUCCUACGGGAGAAAGGGGGCCUCUGAAUGUAAGCUCCCACUCCAGGAUGAGCCCACGUCCGAUUAGCCUAGUUGGUAGGGUAAAGGCCUACCAAGGCCACGAUCGGUAAGCUGGUCUGAGAGGAUGGCCAGCCACACUGGGACUGAGACACGGCCCAGACUCCUACGGGGAGGCAGCAGUGGGGAAUAUUGGACAAUGGGCGCAAGCCUGAUCCAGCAAUGCCGCGUGUGUGAAGAAGGCCUGCGGGUUGUAAAGCACUUUCAGUGGGGAAGAACGGGCCAAGGUUAAUACCCCUGGCUUCUGACGUUACCCACAGAAGAAGCACCGGCUAACUCCGUG
rnacentral:rRNA from 1 species